CUUGAAGCUAAAGGCCUAAAGGCUAACGCCCUUCUAGCUCUCUCUUUCCGGUGCGCGCAGCUAAAGGUUGAAACUGAGGAAUUAGGAUCGAGGAGUGCAUAUUGAGCGAAGAAUACCAGAGAAAACCCAUUACUCAAAAGUGCCUAAAGGCAUACAAGAAAAAAAGUUAAAAUGGGAAGGGAGAGAGAUGCUCAAAAGCCGCAGCAACAGCAACAGCAACAGCAACAGCAACGUCAGCAGCAGCAUAAUCAGCCGCGCGAGGUUGAGGAGCUUGUCAUCUCCGAUACCAUACCCUUGGCGAACACUAGAGAGUUGUCGGUGGAGCCUGUUAAUAUCAAUAAAAAGCGUCAAAGCCCGGAGAAUUUGGAGGGUCAGGGUAAAAAUGUCAAUAGAUGUGAAGUAUUGGUGGGUGAAGAUCGAAAUCUUGAUUAUAAUCAGGGUGUUAAGGAGUGUGGUGAUGUUGACGAUGGUAGUCUUGGCUCGAAUGGAAAAGAUAAACGCUUCUUAUUUUUAGUUUUAAAGAUGUUUGUUGUGGUGAUCUUGGCUUUGAGCACGACAAGACUUGCUAUUGGGAUAACAAUGUCCACUUCUCUUCUCAUCUUUCUUGAAUAUUAUGGGAAACAUCUUUUGUGUUUGUUGAAAACAUGCUUAUUGGUCUUGCUACUUUUAAAUCGAAGGGUUGUUUCUUUAUUUCGACUUAAGAAGGAUUUAUGGGUUUCCAAGAAAGCAUCGAUCAAUGCAGAGAAAGAUGAUAGUGCGUAUGAUUAUUGUGAUUUGGCUGAGAACCUUGAACCCAACCCUCCCGUCAAGGAAAUUCAUGUAGUGGAGCCAACGCCUAAUAUGGUUGGACGAGAUGAAGCAAAUGGGAGAAUAGAAAAUCCAACAAUUUAUGAUUUAUUGAAUUAUGAUAAGAGCUGGGAUAACGUGGAUGAAGCUCUGGAGGCAAAGAACGAUGAAGGGGGAGCUUUGAUUUGUGGAAAAGAGCAUAGCCAGAGUUGUAAAAUCAGAAGAAAAUUCAUCAAGAAAUUGGUGCCUAAGAAAUUUCUUUCUGUAAAGAAAGGGAAAAAGGGAAAGAAGGAAGCAGAUUUCAGCAGUGAAGUGUCAAGUUGCAGCUGGAGAGAGGAUAAAUUAUGCAGGGGUGAAGACACAGAAGAGCAAUCCGAUCUUGAUCGACAAGAUUUAAGUUGCAAAGGCAAACUAACACUACUGCAAUUGAUGGAAAAAGAAAAAGAAAAAGAAAAAGAAAGAUUUAGGACUGGUGGAAAAGAAGAAUUUGAGCACACAAGUUCUAUUUCUAGUCAGGCAUUGCAGACUAAGCCAGAAAUGAUUGUAGUCGAGGAAAGGGUGGAUACUGAAAGAGGAGGCAGUUCAGGUUAUCUGGUCCUCUUUCUAAUUGUUCUUGCUGGACUUGUCGGUGGUCGAAUGCUAGCCCUUGUGAUUACAGUUGGGUCGUGCUCCAUGCUAAAAUUGGUCUGGAGACGAAGGAAAUACGAAAAAUGAGCUUGCAAAUGUUUCCCUGCAUCAGAUCUUGGCUGUGUUUGUUCAGAGAGGAUAUUUCUUUGUUCUUUUUUCGAGUGAUGUUGUCGUGUUUGCUUCUGCCUGUGGGAGGGGUGUUCUUCAAGUGGCAAUUGUAUGGAAUUCCAACCUUUUUUGUUGGCAUCCCAGAUCCUGAAAUGUAAAUUUAUAGACAUACUCAAAUUAUAAGUACUUCAUCGCUCGAAUUAGCGAAUCAAUCUUUGCAUUCCAGUGUAUUCAUGUGAAAGCCCGCAAAUUUAGUUUCUGUUUUUGAGUAUACAUGCAGCACUACCCUAAUAGGCAAAUCAAAUGCACGGCUAUUCUUUCUAGCUGUUUUUAGCCAUGACCUUUGUCUCUGUAAUUUCUCUGUUUGACUGCAGAUUCAUUGGCAGGGUCUUGAACAGGUAGUCUCAAAAAGUCC
rnacentral:misc_RNA from 1 species